rnacentral:rRNA from 1 species
UACAGAGGGUGCAAGCGUUGUUCGGAAUUAUUGGGCGUAAAGGGCGCGCAGGCGGCCACGCACGUCCGUUGUGAAAUCGCCCGGCUCAACUGGGCGGGGUCGGCGGAUACGGCGUGGCUGGAGCAAGCUAGGGGGUAGUGGAAUUCCCGGUGUAGUGGUGGAAUGCGUAGAUAUCGGGAGGAACACCAGUGGCGAAGGCGGCUACCUGGGGCAUUGCUGACGCUGAGGCGCGAAAGCGUGGGGAGCGAUCCGG